rnacentral:rRNA from 1 species
UCCUACGGGACGCAGCAGUGAGGAAUAUUGGUCAAUGGCCGAGAGGCUGAACCAGCCAAGUCGCGUGAGGGAAGACGGCCCUACGGGUUGUAAACCUCUUUUGUCGGGGAGCAAAGCGAGUCACGUGUGACUCAUUGAGAGUACCCGAAGAAAAAGCAUCGGCUAACUCCGUGCCAGCAGCCGCGGUAAUACGGAGGAUGCGAGCGUUAUCCGGAUUUAUUGGGUUUAAAGGGUGCGUAGGCGGCCUUUUAAGUCAGCGGUGAAAGUCUGUGGCUCAACCAUAGAAUUGCCGUUGAAACUGGGAG